UACGUAGGGUGCAAGCGUUGUCCGGAAUUAUUGGGCGUAAAGAGCUCGUAGGCGGUCUGUCGCGUCUGCUGUGAAAACUCAGGGCUUAACCCUGAGCUUGCAGUGGGUACGGGCAGACUAGAGUGCGGUAGGGGAGAGUGGAAUUCCAGGUGUAGCGGUGAAAUGCGUAGAUAUCUGGAGGAAUACCGGUGGCGAAGGCGGCAUCCUGGACCGGCAUUGACGCUGAGGGAGCGAAAGCCAGGGGAGCAAGCGGG
rnacentral:rRNA from 1 species